GACGAACGCUGGCGGCGUGCUUAACACAUGCAAGUCGAACGGAAAGGCCCUGCUUUUGUGGGGUGCUCGAGUGGCGAACGGGUGAGUAACACGUGAGUAACCUGCCCUUGACUUUGGGAUAACUUCAGGAAACUGGGGCUAAUACCGGAUAGGAGCUCCUGCUGCAUGGUGGGGGUUGGAAAGUUUCGGCGGUUGGGGAUGGACUCGCGGCUUAUCAGCUUGUUGGUGGGGUAGUGGCUUACCAAGGCUUUGACGGGUAGCCGGCCUGAGAGGGUGACCGGCCACAUUGGGACUGAGAUACGGCCCAGACUCCUACGGGAGGCAGCAGUGGGGAAUAUUGCACAAUGGGCGGAAGCCUGAUGCAGCAACGCCGCGUGCGGGAUGACGGCCUUCGGGUUGUAAACCGCUUUCGCCUGUGACGAAGCGUGAGUGACGGUAAUGGGUAAAGAAGCACCGGCUAACUACGUGCCAGCAGCCGCGGUGAUACGUAGGGUGCGAGCGUUGUCCGGAUUUAUUGGGCGUAAAGGGCUCGUAGGUGGUUGAUCGCGUCGGAAGUGUAAUCUUGGGGCUUAACCCUGAGCGUGCUUUCGAUACGGGUUGACUUGAGGAAGGUAGGGGAGAAUGGAAUUCCUGGUGGAGCGGUGGAAUGCGCAGAUAUCAGGAGGAACACCAGUGGCGAAGGCGGUUCUCUGGGCCUUUCCUGACGCUGAGGAGCGAAAGCGUGGGGAGCGAACAGGCUUAGAUACCCUGGUAGUCCACGCUGUAAACGGUGGGUACUAGGUGUGGGGUCCAUUCCACGGGUUCCGUGCCGUAGCUAACGCUUUAAGUACCCCGCCUGGGGAGUACGGCCGCAAGGCUAAAACUCAAAGGAAUUGACGGGGCCCCGCACAAGCGGCGGAGCAUGCGGAUUAAUUCGAUGCAACGCGUAGAACCUUACCUGGGUUUGACAUGGAUCGGGAGUGCUCAGAGAUGGGUGUGCCUCUUUUGGGGUCGGUUCACAGGUGGUGCAUGCCUGUCGUCAGCUCGUGUCGUGAGAUGUUGGGUUAAGUCCCGCAACGAGCGCAACCCUUGUUCACUGUUGCCAGCACGUUAUGGUGGGGACUCAGUGGAGACCGCCGGGGUCAACUCGGGGGAAGGUGGGGAUGACGUCAAGUCAUCAUGCCCCUUAUGUCCAGGGCUUCACGCAUGCUACAAUGGCUGGUACAGAGAGUGGCGAGCCUGUGAGGGUGAGCGAAUCUCGGAAAGCCGGUCUCAGUUCGGAUUGGGGUCUGCAACUCGACCUCAUGAAGUCGGAGUCGCUAGUAAUCGCAGAUCAGCAACGCUGCGGUGAAUACGUUCCCGGGGCU
rnacentral:rRNA from 1 species